rnacentral:pre_miRNA from 13 species
AGACAGAAAAGCUGGGUCACUUCUCUGCAGUUGCACAGCUCAUGAGUGCCUGCUGGCGUGGAAUCUGCUCUCU